GGGUGAGUAACACGUGGAUAACCUACCUAUAAGACUGGGAUAACUUCGGGAAACCGGAGCUAAUACCGGAUAAUAUAUUGAACUGCAUGGUUCAAUAGUGAAAGACGGUUUUGCUGUCACUUAUAGAUGGAUCCGCGUCGCAUUAGCUAGUUGGUAAGGUAACGGCUUACCAAGGCAACGAUGCGUAGCCGACCUGAGAGGGUGAUCGGCCACACUGGAACUGAGACACGGUCCAG
rnacentral:rRNA from 1 species